rnacentral:lncRNA from 1 species
GUGCUGGGCCGGGCUCCGUGUCACACCCUAAUAAUCCCACAUCGGAUAGAAAUGGGGAUGUGAUUGGGUAUAUAAAAGACUUAGACACUAGUAAUAAUAAUUGGGCUUAAGCAUUUUGGGCCGUGGUUGGGCCCAACGAGUUAUUUUUGCUAGUGGGCUGGGUCAUUACACUCCGUGCUGGCCUUUUAAUUAUUUUUAAUUUUUUAAAAAUAUAUAAAAAUAUUAAAAUAAUAAAAAAAUAAAAUAGUUCUCUUUCA